rnacentral:rRNA from 1 species
AACUAGAUCUCAAAUGAAGCGAGAAUACCCGCCGAACUUAAGCAUAUCAUUAAGCGGAGGAAAAGAAACUAACAAGGAUGCCCUCAGUAACGGCGAGUGAAGCGGGCAAAGCUCAAACUGAAAAUCGGUGCUCCAUGCGGGGCUUCGAAUUGUAGUCUAUAGACGCGCCAUCAGCGAUGAACCGGGUAUAAAUCUUUUGAAACAAGGUGUCAUAGAGGGUGAGAACCCCGUCUUUGACUCGGAGCUCAUUGCGUACGAUGCGUGUUCAAAGAGUCGAGUUGCUUGGGAUUGCAGCUCUAAGUGGGUGGUAAACUUCAUCUAAAGCUAAAUAUUGACGGGAGACCGAUAGCGAACAAGUACCGUGAGGGAAAGAUGAAAAGAACUUUGAAAAGAGAGUUAAAAAGUACUUGAAAUUGUUAAGAGGGAAGCACUGGAAACCAGUAUUGCCGGUUGCUGUUUCGCCUCUGCGUGGGUUGGAGGCUGCGCGUCGUGAGGUUAAACCACGAUUGCGUAGUCGAAGGCUCGUGUGGGGGUUCUGCAGUAGCUGGUGGGUCAAAAUCAAUUUGGUUCGUGGGAGAAAGCUAUGCGGAAGGUAGGGCCGACGGGCAACCGAAGGCCUGUUAUAGCCGUGUAGUGCUACCAUGGGCUGGAUUGAGGAACAAAUGCGCGCCACUAGGUUUUAGUUCCUCGUUCCUGGGGUGUGAUCGGCGCUGGAUAGCAAAGCUAUGCACGUUGAGUAGCGCUCUACUGGGCGGGAUGAACUAGAUGCAGCAUUCGAGAUUUUGACGAAAUGGUUUUCAUUGACCCGUCUUGAAACACGGACCAAGGAGUCUAACAUAUAUGCGAGUG